CCUACGGGGGGCUGCAGUGGGGAAUAUUGGACAAUGGGGGCAACCCUGAUCCAGCCAUGCCGCGUGUGUGAAGAAGGCCCUCGGGUUGUAAAGCACUUUCAGUGAGGAAGAACGCCUGGUGGUUAAUACCCAUCAGGAAAGACAUCACUCACAGAAGAAGCACCGGCUAACUCCGUGCCAGCAGCCGCGGUAAUACGGAGGGUGCGAGCGUUAAUCGGAAUUACUGGGCGUAAAGCGCGCGUAGGUGGCUUGAUAAGCCGGUUGUGAAAGCCCCGGGCUCAUCCUGGGAACGGCAUCCGGAACUGUCAAGCUAGAGUGCAGGAGAGGAAGGUAGAAUUCCCGGUGUAGCGGUGAAAUGCGUAGAGAUCGGGAGGAAUACCAGUGGCGAAGGCGGCCUUCUGGACUGACACUGACACUGAGGUGCGAAAGCGUGGGUAGCAAACAGGAUUAGAUACCCCGGUAGUC
rnacentral:rRNA from 1 species